UACAGAGGUGGCAAGCGUUGUUCGGAAUUACUGGGCGUAAAGGGCGUGUAGGCGGUCUUCUAAGUCAGACGUGAAAUCCCCAGGCUCAACCUGGGAACUGCGUCUGAUACUGGAUGGCUUGAAUCCGGGAGAGGGAUGCAGAAUUCCAGGUGUAGCGGUGAAAUGCGUAGAUAUCUGGAGGAAUACCGGUGGCGAAGGCGGCAUCCUGGACCGGCAUUGACGCUGAGGAGCGAAAGCCAGGGGAGCAAACGGG
rnacentral:rRNA from 1 species